rnacentral:rRNA from 1 species
CAGAGGCGAUGAAGGGCGUACUAAUCUGCGAUAAGCGCCGGUAAGGUGAUAUGAACCGUUAUAACCGGCGAUACCCGAAUGGGGAAACCCAGUGUGAUUCGUCACACUAUCAUUAACUGAAUCCAUAGGUUAAUGAGGCGAACCGGGGGAACUGAAACAUCUAAGUACCCCGAGGAAAAGAAAUCAACCGAGAUUCCCCCAGUAGCGGCGAGCGAACGGGGAGGAGCCCAGAGCCUGAAUCAGCAUGUGUGUUAGUGGAAGCGUCUGGAAAGGCGCGCGAUACAGGGUGACAGCCCCGUACACAAAAGCGCAUGUGCUGUGAGCUCGAUGAGUAGGGCGGGACACGUGGUAUCCUGUCUGAAUAUGGGGGGACCAUCCUCCAAGGCUAAAUACUCCUGACUGACCGAUAGUGAACCAGUACCGUGAGGGAAAGGCGAAAAGAACCCCGGCGAGGGGAGUGAAAAAGAACCUGAAACCGUGUACGUACAAGCAGUGGGAGCACAGGUUUACCUGUGUGACUGCGUACCUUUUGUAUAAUGGGUCAGCGACUUAUAUUCUGUAGCAAGGUUAACCGAAUAGGGGAGCCGGAGGGAAACCGAGUCUUAAUUGGGCGUUAAGUUGCAGGGUAUAGACCCGAAACCCGGUGAUCUAGCCAUGGGCAGGUUGAAGGUUGGGUAACACUAACUGGAGGACCGAACCGACUAAUGUUGAAAAAUUAGCGGAUGACCUGUGGCUGGGGGUGAAAGGCCAAUCAAACCGGGAGAUAGCUGGUUCUCCCCGAAAGCUAUUUAGGUAGCGCCUCGUGAAUUCAUCUCCGGGGGUAGAGCACUGUUUCGGCUAGGGGGCCAUCCCGGCUUACCAACCCGAUGCAAACUGCGAAUACCGGAGAAUGUUAUCACGGGAGACACACGGCGGGUGCUAACGUCCGUCGUGAAGAGGGAAACAACCCAGACCGCCAGCUAAGGUCCCAAAGUCAUGGUUAAGUGGGAAACGAUGUGGGAAGGCCCAGACAGCCAGGAUGUUGGCUUAGAAGCAGCCAUCAUUUAAAGAAAGCGUAAUAGCUCACUGGUCGAGUCGGCCUGCGCGGAAGAUGUAACGGGGCUAAACCAUGCACCGAAGCUGCGGCAGCGACACUGUG